UCUCCUGAAUCUUCUCGUGACCUACACCUCUCUUUUCUGUUAAAAAAAGGGGUCCACCUUCCUCUCCCGCAUCUUCUACAUCGGCGUUCUUGCGUCUCGGCUCUUCCUCUGCCCAAUCCCCUCUAUCGAGCAGAGCUCUCCGCUGCACGAGCUCCCCAUUGCCGCCGGCCUGCCCCCGAGCCCGCACGGCCGCACUUAUCCCAUCCGCCAGCCUUGCCCCCAUCCUUCCCAUGGCUGCGCAACCUAGGCGAGUAGGGUUUGCUCCGGGAGUCACGCACAGGAGCGGAACGACAUUGCGGCGUUGGCGAUUCUUCGGAGAGGACCGGCGCCGAUCCGUGCUGGGGCGCAGCAGCGUCGGAGUGCUCGGCCGCUCGCUGGAAUCGUGGUGGAUGGGAAUUAGUGGAGGAGACCGACGCUGUGCCGGACGGCAAGCAAAGUCAGUGCUGAAAAUUCAAAUGGCACCAAAAAGGCUCAUGAGAGAUCCAGGUUGCCGCAGGAAAAGAGAUGUGCACAACGUCAAGUACAGUAAGAAUCUGUGAUAUAGCAGUAUCUCAACCUGGCCUUCACAUUCAAUAGAAAAUUGCUAUACACAUUAAUUUGGUUCUUCCACUUUCAUAUCAUAUACCUAUCAUCAUCCAUAAUUCCAUUCAUAACUGAUCCAGCUCCACUGCUGCAUUACAGAUAGAUCAUAAACGAAGGCCUUAAUCCAAUCCAGGCUCUCACUGAACGUGCUUUUCGCAAAUAUCUGAUCAUCUCAACUUCAAAUUUCCGGCGACGCUGCAAUCUAACCCAUAUUUUCUGUCCGAUCAAAUUAGCACGGUGACUGAUGCCGGCAUGCUACCAUAUUUGUUUCAUGAAUCACGGUGGAUUACUACUAUCUAACAUCUGGCCUCUAUUAUUUAUGGGUCUGAUGGAUGUGCUAAUUCAUAAAGCCUUAGAAGUAUCAAUUAGCAACACUGAAAUUAAGAUCAAUAUACAUUGUUAAGUAGAUGGAUCUGAUAUAUGUAGGAUAAUCUUAUUUCCACACAUCUGAAAAUAAUAUUUUUUAUGACAGAUCUUAAAUUACUACAUCAAUAUGCAGUGUGUGGUUGUAGGUCCCUAGCGAAGGUAUUGUCCAUGUCACUAUUGAAUCAAGGUACUGCAGAAAUUCAAUUCCUUCAGGUUAGCUUCUACAUGGCUUAUAUUAUUUAGUUCUUUCACUUCCAUAAUUAUAUAUACCUAUCAUAAUCCAUAAUCCUGUUUGCAGCUGUCCCCAUGUGCUUCUUGCCUACUUUUUAAUGUGCAAUACUUAUUAAUUCGUUUCUUCCUUAUAUAUAUAUUUGGUGGAUUAGUUCAUGCAUGUUGCCAAUUUUUAUGUCGACUGAAGUUGCAUGUUUUCCUCUUCAUCUCUGUAGUUUUCAUAGACACAUACUGCUAUUAGUUACUUACACAACUUAACCCACAUCUAUAGGUUAGUUUCUGAACUACUAUAUAAUACUGAUUUCUUUUCAAUAUCCUCAUAUUUACAUGUUACUUCCCUUGAAAGAUUGUAAACGCAUUCAUAUCUCUAUUUAGUGUGAAUCGCCAUUUUAAAAAUUAAUAAUUACAUAGGUAAAAUAUGAUCUUUUAAUUGCCAUGUCUGAUGUAGUAAAAAAAGAACCUGGAGGGAUGUCAGAUGCAUAAGUUGUGUAAAGUCGAAUAAAUAGUACUACAUGUAAAGAAAAACAAUCAAUUUUGGAGCAUCAAACAACCCUAGCCAUCUAAUAUACAGGAGAAGUGCAUUUGACUUUCCAGAUAUUAGUAGCCGGUGCCUCUGUAGGUAGCUUAGUUUUAGCAUUAGCUAUUUCGUUGUAACCGGAGAGUUCCUAAUUUGUAUUGCUCUAAAUGAUUUCACGCAAGAGCAUGUGGGUACCCACUAUUGAUUUUUCCUUCCAACUCCAUAUUAUUUUCCGAUAACACUUCAAAUAGAUACGACUGAUUCAUUAAUUUAUUAACAGUUGAGAACUUCUAUCUACUUGGUGUACCAGCACCAGAUAGUUUCUUAUUCUUGAUUAACAGUUCAAGUAACUCUAUGGUAGUCAUUGUUCACUAAUGUUUGCAAUGCGAAAAGUUCAAAUUGAUGUACUAAUUGUGUUGCAACUCUAUGGUACUCAUUGUUCGCUAAUGUUAGCACCUUUCAUGUUUUACCAUCCAUAAUGUUAGUAUGCAAUCCUGCACUUUUGAUCUAUUUUACUUCAUGCACUAAAUUAUCAUGAGAUAGAAAUAUAGAUAUGAUUACUCUGUCUGGGGUUUUUCUUUGGUUGCCAAAUAUAAAUCCUUGCAAAUAAAUUGUGGUCUCAUUGUUAUUUUAUGCCGAUUGAUGAAAUGAUCAGGGAUGCUAAAAGUUUUGUUCUGAAUGCAAGAAUUGCAUUAUUUAGUCAUAUGUGUAGACAAAGAAGUUGGCCCAUACAUAUACCAACAACUUGCUGUUCAAGGUCUAAACUUUUUCUUGCACCACUAAUGUGAGCUUACCUUCUAUCAAGGCACCCAUAGCUGAAAGAGAAGAUGGAUGAAUGCCUACAUGCAGUUUUGCCACAGUGAAGUUGCUGUACUCAAGACUCAAAGAUUCAGCAUUAGAGAAAGCCUGAAGUUGACUUUCGUUGCAACACAAACAGGAAGAGUGGCCCAGCCAACCGCCCAACAUCCUCCAACAAGAUAACAACUCCAUAGCUCUGGCGGCUAAGAGAAGAAGAGGAGGAGGAAACCGAAUCAGACUUCGAUUUAUUCAGAGGACAAUAGCUAACUGUUCCAAGACCAGGGAACCGCAACACCACCAGUCCUACCGUUAUACUUUGCUUUGCUAUCUCCUCUACGCUUUAGUUGGAAAAUGUAUCAACCUGCUUAUGUAGUAUUUAUGCAAGACAAUCCAAUCGGUUCUGCAAAUAACUGUCAUGUCAGCAAAUUUAAUGGAUUACGCAUUUAGGUUUUGAUACAUACAUUAUAAAUUAGUAGUACCACCUAACCUUCCCUCC